rnacentral:lncRNA from 1 species
AUGAAAUUAGAGGUGGAGAGGGAUCGGAGCCGUCGUCUCCAACUGGCCACCCUCUUGGCGGUGAUGACGAUCGGCGGCUUUUGACGCGGUAAACAGUAGAGAGAGCAGCGGUGGACAGAGAGAGAGGAGCGGCGGUGAUGGAAAAACCGGCCAUGUCUCCGACCGGACACCCAUGGUGGUGGUUGACGGUCACCGUGACGGCUAUGGCUUCUAGGAUUCGCUCGACAUUCUGGUGGAUUCCCAAGCCUAAAAGACCAGUAUGAGUCACAGAACCCGGAAUAUGGCCAGCCAGAGGCGUGGAGGGAGGAGAUGGAGGAGUUGCCGGUGGGAGAUUGGGAAUUACGGAAAUGCCUAUGGUGACCGUCCGUCGCGUUCUUUAUAAGGUUGGGCGAGCGGUUAUGUGUGGCUUAACAACAAAGGGUGAGUAUGGAGUAAAAACAGUGAUCGAGAUGUUGAAGGAUGAACUAGAGUUCACAAUGGCUCUUUCCGGCUGCCCUACUCUCAACGGUGUUACCGCGAACCAUAUCAGAACUUAGAAAUUAAAAAAUACUUGCUUUGUUCAAAAGUAUUGCACUUCAAUAUUUUCUAGCUGGAGUUUCAUCUACAGAUUCAUUAUAUUUGAUAAUAAAUGAAGAAAGUCAAAUUGAGUUGAGGGAUAAGGCUGCAGAGGUGCUGAAAUGAAGGAGCCAAUAACUGUGGAAGAAAAGCAACACAACGGCCUAUGGUCAAUGACAGCAAUGGAAAGAUUUUCAUUUUUAACAUACAUGUGCGAUUUAUUAACGAAUAAUCUAAGAUACACUUGCGAGUGAAACCAACUAUUGUAGCUGCUUAACAUAUGCCGGAUACAACAGGUUCAUAUGGCGCGCCCAACCAACUAUUGUAACUGCUUAACAGAUGCCGGAUGCAGCAGAAGUAUACGAUACCAAAGUGUAAUUGUUCCUUUGACAAUAUUGUAUAUGUAUGUCUUAUGGAUCAAGUUUUUGGUUUUUUAAGUAGAACGAAGUGAUCUUUGUAUCCAUAUACAUUAUUUCGCUUUAAUGUGACAAAGUUGGUUUGAUUUGUACAAAUGAUUUUUUUUAA